rnacentral:lncRNA from 10 species
CCUGGGUUAUCCAUGUGCCCCCACCACACUAGGGGAGAUCUAUGUGUCAUGGAUGUGAAACAUUAUAUCAGAUGAUGACUCAGGAGCCAGUGUCCUGGGCUAAACACAAGAGUGCUGAUUCCCACUGUAAGUUACAGUGAAGAACUUCUGCUAUCUGAGGGCAUGUGUUUUCAUCUUCAAAAAAGGAUGGACAGUCCCCAUGAACCUUCCCUCUCCAACCACACAGGCCUUGCUUCUGGACAUGCAGUGAUAACUCUCUGUUUGCUGGAUGAAGAUCAUGUUGGCUCUAUGCACAUUCAGAUAACCUUCUACACCAGACACCCCUGGUGAUUGCUCUAUAAAUCAUAUUGGCCAGGAGAAAGGAUGUUCAGUUCCCUAGGCUUUUCAUCAUGGUCAAUUAGGGAAUCAGCCCAAAAGGUCAGCAUCACUGCCCUUAAAUGAGGUCACACUCCAUGCACUCUGAGUACCCCGGAAAGCUGUGGUGCUGGUGAUUAAUGCAUGUGUCCAGACACCUGGUUUCAACGAGGCAAAUCCCUGGCAUACAAUCCCAGCUUGUCUCUUCUCACUGUGUGUAUUUCUCGAGCUGGCCUGUCACCAUGCAAAGAGUAUUUUGAAAAUGCAGUUUAUGCUCAUCUUGGAUGCAGCUGAGAUGCCAUGGAAAGAAGUCAGACUUUGGAAUAGG